rnacentral:rRNA from 1 species
CCUUUUGUUAUUUAUUUAAGGUCCGGCCUGCCCAAUGAUUUUUAAAUGGCCGCGGUAUCCUGACCGUGCAAAGGUAGCGUAAUCAUUUGUUUUUUAAUUGGAAACCAGUAUGAAUGGUCAUACGAGAGAUUAACUUUCUUUAUUUUAUUAUAUUGAAUUUUAUUUUUAUGUGAAAAAGCAUAAAUUUUGUUAUUAGACGAUAAGACCCUAUAAAACUUUAUUGUUUAAUAUUUACUUAUUAUUACUAGAUGUUAAUUUGUUAGGUAUUGAAUAAUUCUACUGGGGCGGUAGGUAAAUUUUUUUAACUUUAUUUUUAAUAUUUCACUAAUGAGUGUUAAGUUGAUCCAAUAUUUAUUGAUUAAAAGAUUAAGUUACUUUA